AUAUAUGGUCAGUCUAUGGUGGGACAUUACAGUGAAAUUAUGAGAAUGAGGCUCAAUCUUUAAAAUAAUGAUCUGUAUAUGUUAAGCACUACUGGGGUUCUAAAACCCCCCAAAGCGUUUUACAUCACAAUCAGUCAUUCACACACUGUUGUAGAACCUUGUAGUUUUAGAGUGAUUAGAUCUCUCUAAUGAAUGAUUUUUGAAGCCAAGUAUAGUUAAAGUCCCAAAGUCAUCGUCACACACUGGUGAAGUUACGUCCUGCAUUCGACCCGUCCCCAUGGGGAGCGGUGAGAUGAAGCUGUGGGAACUAUUUGGUCUUCUGUCGGGUUUCAGUCACUACGAGAAUCAGUCAGAGACAGGAGAGGUUUUCAUCGUGUUCACAACCUACCUUUGUUGUAGCGUCAGUCACGCAUCAUCAUUUGACCAAUCACAGUUGGGGAGACAGCCUGCUGCAGACACGACGGCAGCGGCGCUGACAGCACGUAUGACUGCUGUUGCUUCAGCACGUCGCUGUGGUUUAGAGCUUAAAGGCCCAGUGUGUAAAAACAUUCGACUCUUCAGCGCCACGCAGUUCAGAGUAAGUAUUGCAGCUCCGGUAGCCCACACUAGGGUUGGGCUGUUUUUCCGUUCGCCCAUCAUUAGUCCAGUAAAUGACGAUGGGCCGUGGUGUGUGCGUGUGACUGAUUACGGUAUGAUUCACUGACUGAUUUGCGAACACAGAAGAAGUCUAAACAUGGAUGUUUUUAUGGAUGUGCAGCACAAAUUAGAUUUUUCUUUUUGUUUAACUCACUCACUGCCAGCCGUUUCCUGAUCAGAAAAGCUCUUCGCUGCCAGCGUUUUUCAGCGUUUUUACAGUUUUUUUAAAGGAGACAUAACAUGAAAAACCCACUUUUUUAUCCAUUAACACAGUGUGUUUCACAUUUUAAGUGUCUAAGUGAGCAAAAAGGCUUAUAUUAUUCACUGGAGUUGCUAUUUAGAUAUUUAAUAAUUAAGUUUUGGGCAUAUUUGUCCACCCGUUCAGUUUUUCAAAUUAUCUAUUACAUCAGUAAUUUAUUUCGUCAGGAUAACUACCAAAUAUGGUAAUGGCCCUCGGCUAAACACAGAGCCAAUCCGCCAUUUUUUCAUCUCGCUAAGAUUUUUUGUAGUCCUAUUGGAAAAAUGCAGAAUGUCUGGUUAUUUUAGCCACACACAGCUCAAAACUGUUCCUCGUUUUAAGGAAGGGUGGUGUGGCAGUAUUUAAACCCAGGAGCUGAUGACACUACUGCUAAAAAAAGAACAGAAGAAAAAGUAGUGUGUGUGUGUGUGUGUGUGCGUGCACGUGCGUGCGCGCUCGUGGUUCGUUCGUGUCUCCUGUCUAGUAAGUACUGAGGGCUUCAUCUAUCUAAAAGGAGUCAUUUUUAUCUGAAUGUGGCAGCACCGGGACACAGCAGCAGAGCGGUAAGCUUCAUAUCACUCUAAAAUGUCGACAAACUUUACUUUAGGUUUACGGGCAUUAGCAGCACUAAAGCGUUAGCAUCCGGCUUGCUAUCGCUAGCACAGUAUGCUAGUAAAGUUAGCACCCAGAUUAAUGUGGAUUUGGCUGAUUUUCGUGGAAUAAAACGUGAUUUCUGAUCAACGCCUUCUUUUACACCAGAUGAUAACCUCCCACUGAUUGUAACAGCAGAGAGCCUGUGUGUUAUUCUACAUGAUUGUGAUGUAAUCUUAGCAUCCAGUAAAUAAAGUCCCAUAUCAGCUAAAAUGCAGCGUGACAAAGUCAUUAAAGUGCGUCAACACAGUGGAUUUAAUAGAGUUUUAAAGAACAAUCUCUGAGUGGAGUGAGGUUAGUUUUUUGUCUCACUGCAGAUAUAAAAACGAACUCUGCAUCAGUCAGACGCAGCAAAGCUCACCGUCUGUAUGAGCGUGAGCGUCGGAAAGCUGAUAAAAUCGGCUGUAAAAUAAUUAAAACAAAAGUAAAAAUGUUCCUUUGCUUUUUAGAGUCCACAUCCAGAAGACUGGAGUCGUGUUUCACUGACAGGCUGUCAGACUAAAGCCCUGAUGAGCUCAGCUGGGACAAACUGGUCUGAUGUUUAGGAACACAGAACGCUCAGAUGUUGGAGCUUAACCACCUACCAGUGUUGCCAGAUCCAAAAUCCCACAAUAUCGUACAGAGAGGCCUAAAUGAUCGUUUUUCAGUACAAAUUAUCGUACAUUAUAAAUUUAAUAAUAACGUUCUAUAAACGACUUCUCACUCCAAUAUAAUAUAACAAAGAAGGUGUUUUAUAUUGCCCUGUUUAAAUAAACAUCUUUAAAACCAGUAAUAUAAUGCCUAUAAAUGUGCACAGUGUGUCGGCACCACUCCGACCUCCACGCAUUGACACAAUAUGCACAUUUGCGCAGUCUUAUUUAUGUCAUUUCUACAUAGGUUAAAAGCACGCGACAAAACAUCACACCAGUGGAAAAACUGACCCAAUAAAUGACAAAGCAGCCUACUCACCUAGUUCCAGAGUCAGUUUUUGUAAUAGACACAAUAGCAUAAACCUGUAAGCACUGAGGUGAAAUCUGACUUCAGAACAGUUUAAAAUUAUGUAAUGGACUUGGGAAAGCCACAGCGAAAGACGGUGUUACUAGAUGCAAUGUGAAAUUAUCGUACAUUUGAGGAUUUUUGAAACUAUUGAUCGUACAUCGUACAGAGCCCAAAAUUAUGGUACAAAUACGAUAAUUAUCGUACAUCUGGCAACACUGCCACCUACUGAGGAAGGAGACCCACCAGUAAAGAGACGGUCUGGACCAGACCAAAAAUAUGGCGAUGACAUCAUGGAACUGGUCUUUGGAAAAGUUUUCCCUGAACCAACUCCGUUUCUAGAUGAGGUAGAGAAGAUCUGCAUCUCACCAACUCUCUGGUCUCAGUAUUCAGACAACGGAGGUCUCCCACUGUUAUCCAGGACCAGUUUGAAGCCCACAUACUGCCCCUCCCUCAUCAUCAGGAAACAUCAAUCCGUAUCCUGAGGACAACAGAAGACGGCAGGAGGACAGGAACUCUGAGACCUAGACACCACCAGCACCGAGACACAAAGCACCUGUGUUCACAACGCCUGUUUAACUACUAAAGCCUGUUUAUUAUAUAGUUCUACUUAUUUGCUGUGAGGUUAAUACUUAGAAAAUUUGUAUUUUAAUGUAAACAAUAAAAAAAUCACUGAUUGUAUGUUUUCUUUUAGAUGUAAUGGUCCAAACUCAGCCUUGUAGACAUUUAUUGCAUCCUGUAGGUAAAUACACAGAACAGGCUCAGGUCCAGGAUGACCCAGCAUGCUCUUCUUCCAUUCUGGCUGUUAGGGAUUUUAUCAAUAACUCAAUGCCUACUGAUGUUUCCACCUAACGGUAUUUAUUUAGAAUGCAGGUCAGAUUUAACUAUAUUUGUUAGCAAAGCAGACUGAUCUUGGGAAUUUCACUGCAGCACUGAUGUUCACCUCUCUGUACACAUUAGAGAGAAUUACCACUUUACAGCUAAACACAUUUAAUAAAGAUAUAGGCUACGCAUUGCAGACAAUAAAAACAAAGUUCUAAGCAUUAGAAUUAUAAUGAUCACAUUAAAGAACAUUUGGAGGAA